rnacentral:rRNA from 1 species
AAGACUGGGAAAACCUUGGGAAACUGAGGCUAAACCCGGAUAGGGAACGAAAGCUGGAAUGCUUCAUUCUUUAAAGGCAACGCUUAAGGAUGAGUCGGCGGCGGAUUAGGUUGUUGGUGAGGUAAUGGCUCACCAAGCCAAAGAUCCGUACGGGCCUUGAGAGAGGUAGCCCGGAGAAGGACACUGAGAAACUGGUCCUAGCCCUACGGGGUGCAGCAGGCGCGAAAACUUUACAAUGCACGAAAGUGUGAUAAGGGAAUCCAAAGUGCUCAUGCACAGCAUGGGCUUUUGCCAAGGGUAAAUACCUUGGAGAAUAAGUGGUGGGUAAGACUGGUGCCAGCAGCCGCGGUAACCCCAGCGCCACAAGUGGGAGCCACAAUUAUUUGGCCUAAAGCGUCCGUAGCUGGCUUAGUAAAUCUUUUGUGAAAUCGGAAAGCUUAACUUUUCGGCGUGCAGAAGACACUGCUAUGCUUGAGACCGGGAGGGGUAAGGAGUAUUUCUAGGGAACCGGUAAAAUGGGAUAAUCCUAGAAAGACUACCUGUGGCGAAGGCGCCUUACCAGCACGGCUCUGACAGUGAGGGACGAAGGCUAGGGGAGCGAACCGGAUUAGAUACCCGAGUAGUCCUAGCAGUAAACGCUGCGGGCUAGGUGUUGCACCAUCCAUGAGAUUGUGCAGUGUCGUAGCGAAGGCAUUAAGCCCGCCGCCUGGGAAGUAUGGUCGCAAGACUGAAACUUAAAGGAAUUGGCGGGGGAG